AAUUACUCUCCAAAUUUUUGAGCAGAUUUUAAAUCAUCAUCCUCCUCCUCCUCCUCCUCCCUCUCUCUCCUUCUCUAAUCUUCAUUUUCUUUUUCUGUUUUUUGCUUCCAUAUAUAAAUACAUAUUUGCCCUUCCUUCCCUUCCCUUCCCUUGUUUGGAAGGGAAUAUUGCAGAGAGAAAAGAGAAGGGAAGAGAGGAGAGGGGGUUGAUGGUGAAUGGUGAAGUCUCUUACAAGAGAUUAACAGCAACAAUGACUGCUACCAAUUCAUCUUCCUGUCUCUCUUCCACUUCCAAUGAGAAGAAGCACUGGUGGCUCAGCACCCGAAAGAUUGUGGAAAAGUAUAUGAAAGACGCCAGAAGCCUGAUUGCGACCCACGAAUACAGCGAGGUAGCAUCGGCGGUGGGCCUUCUGGACGCGGCUCUCGCCGUCUCCCCGCGCCUGGAGGAAGCCCUCGAACUCAAAGCCAGGUCUCUCCUCUAUCUCCGCCGCUUCAAGGAGGUAGCCGAUAUGCUCCAGGACUACAUUCCCAGCCUCAUAAUGGCAACCGACGACUCUUUCUCCUCCUCAUCCUCUGGUGGCUCUGAAAAUUCGUCUCAGCCGCUUUCCCGUGAGCGAGUCAAGCUUCUCUCCUCCAAUAGCGGCAACUCGUCCUCCAGCUCGCCGGAUCGGGAUCCUUCCUUCAAGUGCUUCUCUGUCUCGGACUUGAAGAAGAAGGUCAUGGCAGGCCUCUGUAAAAACGGCGACAAGGAAGGGCAUUGGAGGUAUUUGGUUCUGGGCCAGGCGUGUUACCACCUCGGCCUAAUGGAGGACGCCAUGGCUCUCCUCCAGACCGGGAAACGCCUCGCCACCGCCGCAUUCCGCCGCGAGAGCAUAUGCUGGUCCGACGACAGUUUCUCUCUUUCCAGCUUCAACCUCUCUAACGACACAGUCUCUUCCGCCAACUCACCCGCCACGCCUCCUAGGAUGUUAUCCGAGUCCGAAACCGUUACCCAUCUCCUUAGCCACGUUAAGCUCCAUCUCCGCCGCCGAACCGCCGCAAUCGCUGCCCUCGACGCAGGCCUUUACUCAGAGGCCAUCCGCCACUUCUCCAAAAUCGUGGACGGCCGGCGUGGAGCCCCACAGGGAUUCCUGGCAGAGUGCUACAUGCAGCGCGCCUCCGCUUUCCGGGCGGCGGGACGGAUCGCUGAGGCGAUCGCGGACUGCAAUCGGACUCUGGCUCUUGAGCCGAGUUGUAUACAAGCAUUGGACAGGAAGAGCCUCACUUCUGGAGACCAUCAGGUGUUUGCCGGAUUGCUUACAUGACCUGGAGCACUUGAAGCUUCUGUACAAUUCCAUCUUGAGGGAUCGGAAGCUGCCGGGGCCGGCGUGGAAGCGGCACAACGUGAGAUACAGGGAGAUUCCGGGGAAGCUGUGUUUGCUGACGACCAAGAUACAGCAAUUGAAGCAGAGGGUGGCUUCAGGGGAAACAGGGAACGUGGAUUACUAUGCUUUGAUCGGGUUGCGACGAGGGUGUUCGAGGUCUGAGUUGGAGAGAGCGCAUUUGCUGCUCUGUUUACGACACAAGCCCGAUAAGGCCACCAUUUUCAUUGAUCGGUGUGAGCUGGCGGAUGAUCGGGAUGUGGAUUCAAUUAGGGAUAAAGCGAAGAUGUCGGCUCUGUUGCUUUACAGAUUGCUGCAAAAGGGUUAUUCAAACGUGAUGGCAACCAUCGCGGAGGAGGAGGCAGCGGAGAAACAGAGGAAGAAGGCUGCAGCUGCAUUACAGGCAGCUCAAGGUCAGGCUGCUCAUGCCGCAGUAAUUCAAGUGCAAGUGUCCCAAACCCAAGCCCAAGAAUCUCGAAUGGAAUCCUCCUCUUGUUCUUUCAAUUCUAGCAAUAGGAAUGGUGGUAAUCAUAACAAGAAUAAUAUGCACUCGUCGUCAGCGGAAGCGAAAGCAGCGGCAGCAGCGUCGUUCCAAGGGGUGUUUUGCAGAGACAUUGCGGUCGUGGGGAGUUUGCUGUCGCAGGUUGGGUUUAACCGCCCAAUUCAAGUCAAGUAUGAGGCGUUGAGUUGCUGAUUGGAAAAUUGCAAGUAUAUUACCGGCGGGAAGAAUCUUGCUUCAGUUUCAUUUCUGUCUGUACAAAAAAGCCGGGAAAUUUUUGUCACCAUUUUUUCCAUUAUCCUUAUCUACCACUACUAGUAGCUACUACGGUGUUGGACUAGUUCAUGUACAAAUUUUCGACUUUUUCAUUUUUCGCUUUAGCUUAAAAUUGGAUGCCUUUUCCUUCUUUUUUAGUUACCUUUUGAAAUUAAAUAUAUAAAUUUCAUAUU